rnacentral:rRNA from 1 species
ACGGGUGAGUAACACAUGGGAACGUACCCUUUUCUACGGAAUAACCCAGGGAAACUUGGACUAAUACCGUAUGUGCCCUUCGGGGGAAAGAUUUAUCGGAAAAGGAUCGGCCCGCGUUGGAUUAGCUAGUUGGUGGGGUAAAGGCCUACCAAGGCGACGAUCCAUAGCUGGUCUGAGAGGAUGAUCAGCCACAUUGGGACUGAGACACGGCCCAAACUCCUACGGGAGGCAGCAGUGGGGAAUAUUGGACAAUGGGCGCAAGCCUGAUCCAGCCAUGCCGCGUGAGUGAUGAAGGCCUUAGGGUUGUAAAGCUCUUUCACCGGAGAAGAUAAUGACGGUAUCCGGAGAAGAAGCCCCGGCUAACUUCGUGCCAGCAGCCGCGGUAAUACGAAGGGGGCUAGCGUUGUUCGGAUUUACUGGGCGUAAAGCGCACGUAGGCGGAUCGAUCAGUCAGGGGUGAAAUCCCAGAGCUCAACUCUGGAACUGCCUUUGAUACUGUCGAUCUGGAGUAUGGAAGAGGUGAGUGGAAUUCCGAGUGUAGAGGUGAAAUUCGUAGA